rnacentral:misc_RNA from 1 species
GAUGAAGAACGUAGCGAAAUGCGAUAAGUAAUGUGAAUUGCAGAAUUCAGUGAAUCAUCGAAUCUUUGAACGCACAUUGCGCCCGCCAGUAUUCUGGCGGGCAUGCCUGUUCGAGCGUCAUUUCAACCAUCAAGCCCCAGGCUUGUGUUGGGGACCUGCGGCUGCCGCAGGCCCUGAAAACCAGUGGCGGGCUCGCUGUCACACCGGGCGUAGUAGAUUUUAUCUCGCUCUGGGCGUGCUGCGGGUUCCGGCCGUUAAAAAACCCUUUUAACCCAAGGUUGACCUCGGAUCAGGUAGGAAUACCCACUGAACUUAAGCAUAUCAAUAAGCGGAGGA